rnacentral:lncRNA from 1 species
UCCAGGGAGGCUGAGGAGUGAAUGGUCCAGAGGGUAGGAUCUGAUGGUCCUAGGUCACAGGGCCUGGGUAGUGUCUCAGCCUGUUGGUUCACCUCCAUGUUGGUUAUCUGAACUUUGGGAUGAGCUCCUGUCUGAUGUACUGUGGAAUGAAAUGCUGGAGACCGAGCUUGUUGGAUGUUCAGGACUACGCAGCCAAACUGGGGGAGACCCAAAGCCGGUGUGGAGUAACCAGUUUUCCGAUCAGGGUACUGCCCUUGUGUCUGAUGGUCGUUCUCAGUUGAGAGGGGUAUCUAAUAUGCAAAGUCUGACUGGGAGGUCAUCCGGGAGUCAAAGCUUUCCCCUUCUGCUGUAGUGAUAUUGUGAACGCCCUGAGAACUGAACAUGAAUUACGGGGGAAGUCUUUGUGGGAUCUCGUGAGUAGUUUUCUGUUUGUUGAUUGCACGAAAGGACAAAGAAGCUCCUUUGGUUUAGCUCGUCUGUGUUAGGGAGAAGAAGGAUCCACUGCUUAAGUCAGUGUCUACUCUCCUGUCUUCUCUACAGCCAAGCAGGUCGAGUAUUUGGUCAACGAGAAGCACAUCUAUCUGAUGCCGAGCGGUCGGAUCAACAUGUGCGGCUUGACCACCAAGAACCUAGAUUACGUGGCUACCUCCAUCAAUGAAGCUGUCACCAAAUUCCAGUGAAGAAACACCGAGUAGUUCAUACCACCAAAGCAGUUCCUGUCACAGCUUUCCUGCCUGCGCAAACCUAGCCGUACAUGUUGUUUAUUAGAGAUGACCACCAUGGGGAGGCAGCCGCUGUUUAGCUGGCCCCACAAGAGAAGACAUUUCUUGAAAUGAACCUGGGUCGGGUGGGGGGAUGACUGGGGUUAGGGCCUUUUGGAAACCAGAGCAGAUUAAAGUUAUUUAAGAAUAAAAAACCCUUUGAUAUGAGAUGUAAUCACCUUGCCUUCCUCUGUAGUAUUCUGCAGGAGUGUUGCCCACGAAGCCGUGGGCUUCUGCACGUUGCUUGAGUCUGUACAGAGUCCUGUCCCCAAAAUCAAGUUGUCUGAGGAGCCAGCUGUGACUGUGGAUGUUGGCAUUA